UACGUAGGGCGCAAGCGUUAUCCGGAAUUAUUGGGCGUAAAGAGCUCGUAGGCGGUUUGUCGCGUCUGCUGUGAAAGACCGGGGCUCAACUCCGGUUCUGCAGUGGGUACGGGCAGACUAGAGUGCAGUAGGGGAGACUGGAAUUCCUGGUGUAGCGGUGAAAUGCGCAGAUAUCAGAGGAACACCGAUGGCGAAGGCAGGUCUCUGGGCUGUAACUGACGCUGAGGCGCGAAAGCUAGGGUAGCAAACGGG
rnacentral:rRNA from 1 species